UGAAGCAAGAAUGCCGCACAGCACCUUGGGGUAUGAAUGGGACCUGCUCAAUCUUAGCAGGUUACAGUGUAUGGUUACUUUUUUACUAGUUACCUGUUGUUGUGACCAUUUGUUUCUGUUUUUGUCACAGUGACCAGAUACUUGACAGUGAACAACGUAAGGGAAGAUUCUUUUGGCUCCCGGCCAGGGUGACAGUGGAUCAUGGCAGCAAAGGCGUGAGCUCUGGAUUGUGAUGUAGUUAGUUACAUUGUGUCUACAGUCAGAAAGUCAAGGGAGAUGAGUGCCGGGGCUCAGCUCACCGUUUGCUUCCCCCUCAGCCCCUGUGAUGGUGCCACCUACUUACAGGGUGGAUCUGUCCUCUCCUGUGAACCGCCCCUGGAACCUCCCUCAAAGUGAUGCCCGGAAAUGUGUCUCCUAGUGAAGUAAAUCCAGUCAAGCUGACGUUGAAGAUGGACCAUCAUCCCUUCUGGUGUUCUCCACAUGACUGGAGAUUUGAUGAGGUGAUACCUACAUGUUUUGCUCUUGGGGACUUGUCGUACCAGCGAUUGGCGCCAUUGAAGCUGCAGCCCCCGCCAUGGAGGAGCUGGAGCGCCCUGUGAGUGUCACUCAGCUCUCCAGUACCCGGAACAUCCAGGCACACCAGGCAGAUGCAGCGCUCAAUCAUGUCCAGGGAGUCCCGGUUGGUGGAGUCUGCAGGACAGGAGCUACUUCAAGACCCAGAGGAGAGGGCUGAGCAUGGCCUGGGGACUCUGAACUUGGAGCUGGAUGCAGUGACAGAAUGGAGACAGGUACCCUUAGCCUCUGGGCAGGGGUGAGAGUGCUCUACGCACAGAAGACUUGGGAUGUGGCCUCAGGAACCAUCAUGUACUAUGUGGCAGGGGUGAGAGUGCUCUACGCACAGAAGACUUGGGAUGUGGCAUUAGGAACCAUCAUGUACUAUGUGGCAGGGGUUGCUGCCUGCAUCCUACAGCAUCCCUGCUCUUUACUCAGAGGACCCUGCGUUUAGCCUGGCACAUGGACUGCUGGUUAAAGCGACAAUUUCCAGUCUCUUCUCGGCUAGAAGCAAGCCAAGGUCUAAAUUCUUCCAAUAAAAUCUGGAGACAAGAAA